rnacentral:rRNA from 1 species
UACGUAGGGUGCGAGCGUUAAUCGGAAUUACUGGGCGUAAAGCGUGCGCAGGCGGUUCGUUGUGUCGGUGGUGAAAUCCCCGGGCUUAACCUGGGAAUGGCCAUGGAAACUGGCGAACUGGAGUGCGGCAGAGGGGGGUGGAAUUCCCGGUGUAGUGGUGAUAUGCGUAGAUAUCGGGAGGAACACCUGUGGCGAAGGCGGCUUUCUGGGCCUUACCUGACGCUGAGACGCGAAAGCGUGGGGAGCGAACCGG